CGCGCGUUAUAUUAUAUUAUAAUUAAUCGAAUACAAUUUUUUUUUUUAUUUUUCAGGGAAUAAAAUGUUACGUCAUACGAAUAUAACAAAAGAGCCCGAUUGCCGAAGUCUAUCAAUACAAUAUUUGCGUCCGUGACGUUAAAAUUGUAAGGAAUUUUAUAUUUUAAGAGCUGGUGAAAACAUAUUUCGCUCCUCCUCGAGAAUGGGCCAGGUACGCCACCGUGCGUACGUAAAAUGCGAAUACACGUGUAUACAUUAUACGGUAUAAUGUCUAUACCGUAUUAUUUUUGCAAACCGCCGGGUUUUUCGGUCUCG